rnacentral:sRNA from 1 species
UUUAUUGGCUUGUUCGGAGGGUGAAGAGAAGCUCCUCGGUUCGAGCCGAGGCCAACGCAGUUGGCCGAGACAGCGCCGGCUUUGCCGGCGACCCCGCAGGGGUGAGGCCGCAGGCCGAAUAAUCCUUCCGGGCGCGCCA